rnacentral:lncRNA from 1 species
GCACUGCCGUGCUGUUUGUUUGCAACUCAACUAAAUUGCUCCCAAGGGUGAACCUUUGUUUCACAACAUAUUUUCAGCCAGACUUUUUCUGCAAACAUGUCCAUGUCUGUGCAGGCUCACAAACACUCAGGUCCCAAAGGGCAGACCCAGCCCUUCCCAGCUGCAGCCUCCUCUUCCUCUGAGCUUCCCUGUGGGGCCUGACUGGGGCCGGAGAAAGGGGCAGCCCGGGGUAGACAGUGUGAAGGCUGGACUCAUGGCAGUUGGAGCACUGGGCUGAUGGCAAGAAGCUGCACGUGCUGCCCCUGCUCCAUCUCCCUGCUUCCCUUAAUAUUCCUCUGUAUCUUGGGUCCUGCUCUGUCCUGAAGCUGCAGGAAGGGGAGGGGCGGCCUGCAAGGAGGUCCCCCAGUCUUCCAUCUAGCCCAUGGGUGACUCCUGGGGCCCCAGGCCCCAUUUGCAGAGGACAGGGAACACCCCUGGUACUCCCUGGCCCUCUUGGCUCUCCUGGCCAGAAGUACUCAUAUCUGGGUGCUGCUGUUUCCCCAUUCUGCAGAGGGGCUUCCUGUGGCACUUGAUUACCUCUGUGCUCUGGGACCAGAGAGAGAAUCUUUCUCUCUGGUGUUUCUUUCCUAGGUGUCCUUUUCUCUGCUUUGAGCAGGGCCCAGGCUCCAGGGGCCACGUGCCUCGUGUCCCACAGGGCUGACAGGAGGCCCUGCAUCCUCAUCUUAGAAGUAUUGCAAGCCCUAGAGUGUCAGGCGUGGAAGAACCCCCUCAUUGUAUAGGAGCCCACUGAGGACCAGAGAGAAAGAGGUGGAGCAGGGACAGAGCAGGCUCUGGGACUCAAGCUUCUCUCUCUCUCUCUCUCUACUCUAACUUCCCUCCCUCUGCCGCUCUGUAUCGCUGACUGUAUCUCUCUCUCUGCCUCUCCCUUCCUCCAUCCUUUCUUCUCUCCUCGCCUCCCCUCCUCUCCCUGUCUCUUCUCUGUCUCUCUCUCUCACAUACACAGACACACACGUUCAUUUCAUACCUAGGGACUAACACGCUUCCCAGUCUUUACAGAUGGAGAAUCCUUGACAGAUUUGGGGGAUUAGGGAAGGUGCACUUAGCAACUAAAGCCAAUGAGAAAGUUCUGGGUCAGAGACAUGUGUGUUGAGCCCUUGGUCCCAGGGAAAGGGGUUGCAGCUCCUCUGCAGGCCUCCUGCACCAGGCACAUCUGCACUGUGGUCAGGCCCCCACAUGGCAGGCAACAUUCUCCACCUCUCAGGCUCAGCCCCACUGGACAGCCCAGCUAUUCACCCUGUCUGAGGUGUGCUUCAUGGGCUGUGGACCCAGAGUGU